AUUGAUUAAGGAAUUGAGACACGCCUUUGAUAAUGAAAAUAAGCAAGGAAAGGAACGAUUAUUAUUAUCGAUCGCCGUUCCCGCUGGACAAGAUUAUAUUGAUCGUGGUUUCGAUGUUCCCAAGAUCGCCAAAAAUGUUGAUUUUAUGAAUGUUCUAACUUACGAUUAUCAUACUGCUUACGAUCCGGAAACUGAUCAUCAUUCACCAUUGAAGAGUCGAACGGGAUUAAGUAAAUUCGAUGAGGCCGCUAAAUUAAACGUCGAUUGGACAAUUAAAUAUUAUAUUAGUCAAGGUGCACCUCCGUCUAAGAUAAUUGUUGGUGUUCCUACUUAUGGUAGGUCGUUUACUUUACUUGAUGGCGGUCGGACUGGGGGGAGUGGACCAGCCGGUGGGGGGCCAGGUACACGGGAGAAAGGUUAUCUAGCUUAUUAUGAGAUUUGUCAAAAAAUCGAGGAGGAAAAAUGGGUUGUCAAGAAUAGUGAGCCCACGAUUCAGGGUCCAUAUGCUUAUCAUGAUAAACAAUGGGUCGCCUAUGAUGAUGUCGAUAUUAUCAAAGAAAAGGCCAAAUUUAUUUUAUCCAAUGGUCUUGGAGGUGCAAUGGUUUGGACUUUGGAUAAUGACGAUUUCCGUGGUCUAUGUCACGGUCAGCAAAGUCCAUUGAUUAACGCACUGAAAGUCGCUCUCUUAUCAAGUCAAACUACCACAGAAUCAGUACCAUCAACAUCAACAACAAUCGCACCAGUAACUCGAUCAGUUUCAAAUGGCCGUCGACCAGGU
rnacentral:misc_RNA from 1 species